AUUUUAGAGAGUUUGAUCCUGGCUCAGGACGAACGCUGGCGGCGUGCCUAACACAUGCAAGUCGAACGGAACUGUUUUGAAAGAUU
rnacentral:rRNA from 1 species